rnacentral:rRNA from 1 species
GUCGACAACAGAGUUUGAUCAUGGCUCAGAUUGAACGCUGGCGGCAGGCCUAACACAUGCAAGUCGAACGGUAACAGAAAGCAGCUUGCUGCUUUGCUGACGAGUGGCGGACGGGUGAGUAAUGUCUGGGAAACUGCCUGAUGGAGGGGGAUAACUACUGGAAACGGUAGCUAAUACCGCAUAACGUCGCAAGACCAAAGAGGGGGACCUUCGGGCCUCUUGCCAUCGGAUGUGCCCAGAUGGGAUUAGCUUGUUGGUGGGGUAACGGCUCACCAAGGCGACGAUCCCUAGCUGGUCUGAGAGGAUGACCAGCCACACUGGAACUGAGACACGGUCCAGACUCCUACGGGAGGCAGCAGUGGGGAAUAUUGCACAAUGGGCGCAAGCCUGAUGCAGCCAUGCCGCGUGUAUGAAGAAGGCCUUCGGGUUGUAAAGUACUUUCAGCGGGGAGGAAGGGAGUAAAGUUAAUACCUUUGCUCAUUGACGUUACCCGCAGAAGAAGCACCGGCUAACUCCGUGCCAGCAGCCGCGGUAAUACGGAGGGUGCAAGCGUUAAUCGGAAUUACUGGGCGUAAAGCGCACGCAGGCGGUUUGUUAAGUCAGAUGUGAAAUCCCCGGGCUCAACCUGGGAACUGCAUCUGAUACUGGCAAGCUUGAGUCUCGUAGAGGGGGGUAGAAUUCCAGGUGUAGCGGUGAAAUGCGUAGAGAUCUGGAGGAAUACCGGUGGCGAAGGCGGCCCCCUGGACGAAGACUGACGCUCAGGUGCGAAAGCGUGGGGAGCAAACAGGAUUAGAUACCCUGGUAGUCCACGCCGUAAACGAUGUCGACUUGGAGGUUGUGCCCUUGAGGCGUGGCUUCCGGAGCUAACGCGUUAAGUCGACCGCCUGGGGAGUACGGCCGCAAGGUUAAAACUCAAAUGAAUUGACGGGGGCCCGCACAAGCGGUGGAGCAUGUGGUUUAAUUCGAUGCAACGCGAAGAACCUUACCUGGUCUUGACAUCCACAGAACUUUCCAGAGAUGGAUUGGUGCCUUCGGGAACUGUGAGACAGGUGCUGCAUGGCUGUCGUCAGCUCGUGUUGUGAAAUGUUGGGUUAAGUCCCGCAACGAGCGCAACCCUUAUCCUUUGUUGCCAGCGGUCCGGCCGGGAACUCAAAGGAGACUGCCAGUGAUAAACUGGAGGAAGGUGGGGAUGACGUCAAGUCAUCAUGGCCCUUACGACCAGGGCUACACACGUGCUACAAUGGCGCAUACAAAGAGAAGCGACCUCGCGAGAGCAAGCGGACCUCAUAAAGUGCGUCGUAGUCCGGAUUGGAGUCUGCAACUCGACUCCAUGAAGUCGGAAUCGCUAGUAAUCGUGGAUCAGAAUGCCACGGUGAAUACGUUCCCGGGCCUUGUACACACCGCCCGUCACACCAUGGGAGUGGGUUGCAAAAGAAGUAGGUAGCUUAACCUUCGGGAGGGCGCUUACCACUUUGUGAUUCAUGACUGGGGUGAAGUCGUAACAAGGUAACCGUA